UGGAAUAAUUAUUUAAAUCAGUCUCUAAGAUUUUUAAAAUCGAAUAUUUUAGUCCUCCAAAUUUUAAAUACACAAAAUAGUCUUCGAAGUUUACUUUCGUUAGAUAAUACAGUUCCUUGUUGUCAAUUUUUGCCUUAGUCAAUGACCUUGACUGCUGACGUAGAACAUUAACUUACAUAUAGGGUCAUUAAGUGUGGACAAUUCAAUCCUUAAACUCAUUUACAAAUACGACACCAUUUUGAAACACAAUUCCCACUCCCAUUUUAAGCAUGUUGCUAUGAAGAAUGAGAAACACUAGUUCAUUCCCUAGAGCUACUCUUGUUUCAAUAGCCAAUAGUGGACAAAGAUGAGGCUGUUCUACCCAUUGUAGAGGAAGGGUCAGUCAUGCUAUCACCCAUAAUAAGGAGGUUAAGAAAUAGACAACACUCGAAGUACCUUUGUGGGUUAUUUGUAAUUAUCGCCAAAUCAAACAUGGUGGAGAAUCCUAGAAGGAAAAGGAGUGUCACUGCAAUUUCUUUGCUUGGUUUGACAUGGUCUUUGACAUCAAUCACAAGAAUGCUAUCAUGGAUGAUGUUGCUGAUGCUGAUCAAUUGGAUGAUGUGGUUGUUGGAUUUCAAGAGAAAUUGAUGGAGCUAUAGGAGAGGAUAGUUGCAUUAGAAAAUUCUC